rnacentral:rRNA from 1 species
AGUGAACGCUGGCGGUAGGCCUAACACAUGCAAGUCGAACGGCAGCACAGUAAGAUCUUGCUCUUACGGGUGGCGAGUGGCGGACGGGUGAGGAAUACAUCGGCAUCUACUUUUUCGUGGGUGAUAACGUAGGGACACUUACGCUAAUACCUCAUACGACCUACGGGUGAAAUCAGGGGAUCUUCGGACCUUGCGCGAUUGAAUGAGCCGAUGUCGGAUUAGCUAGUUGGCGUGGUAAAGGCCCACCAAGGCGACAAUCCGUAGCUGGUCUGAGAGGAUGAUCAGCCACACUGGAACUGAGACACGGUCCAGACUCCUACGGGAGGCAGCAGUAGGGAAUAUUGGACAAUGGGCGCAAGCCUGAUCCAGCCACACCGCGUGGGUGAAGAAGGCCUUCGGGUUGUAAAGCCCUUUUGUUGGGAAAGAAAAGCAGCAGGUUAAUACCCCGAUGUUCUGACGGUACCCAAAGAAUAAGCACCGGCUAACUUCGUG